rnacentral:rRNA from 1 species
CGCUGGCGGCAGGCCUAACACAUGCAAGUCGAGCGGAUGAAGGGAGCUUGCUCCUGGAUUCAGCGGCGGACGGGUGAGUAAUGCCUAGGAAUCUGCCUGGUAGUGGGGGAUAACGUCCGGAAACGGGCGCUAAUACCGCAUACGUCCUGAGGGAGAAAGUGGGGGAUCUUCGGACCUCACGCUAUCAGAUGAGCCUAGGUCGGAUUAGCUAGUUGGUGGGGUAAAGGCCUACCAAGGCGACGAUCCGUAACUGGUCUGAGAGGAUGAUCAGUCACACUGGAACUGAGACACGGUCCAGACUCCUACGGGAGGCAGCAGUGGGGAAUAUUGGACAAUGGGCGAAAGCCUGAUCCAGCCAUGCCGCGUGUGUGAAGAAGGUCUUCGGAUUGUAAAGCACUUUAAGUUGGGAGGAAGGGCAGUAAGUUAAUACCUUGCUGUUUUGACGUUACCAACAGAAUAAGCACCGGCUAACUUCGUGCCAGCAGCCGCGGUAAUACGAAGGGUGCAAGCGUUAAUCGGAAUUACUGGGCGUA